rnacentral:lncRNA from 1 species
AUAUAAACUUGAAAAAACAUAAUCGGCAUCCAAAUUAAAGUUUAGUCUUAUUCAAUGUAUUGAUUUUCAAUCAUUAAUUGAUAUACUAUAAUUUGGAACUUCAACGCCUAGACGCAUGCUUAUGUGUAAGAAAUUUAAAGCGUCAAAUUCGGCACAUUAUUCUUCAUCAUUUUAUUCACUUCCCUUUUUUUUUUUUUAAUAUCCUAAAUAAAACCUCCAAAUAUUGUACUAAUUAAUUAU